rfam:Schistosoma mansoni strain Puerto Rico chromosome 1, complete genome
AUCCAUCUGAUGAGUCCCAAACAGGACGGAAUGUGGGUGCUGGAU